rnacentral:rRNA from 1 species
AUUGAACGCUGGCGGCAUGCUUUACACAUGCAAGUCGAACGGUAACAGGCCUUCGGGUGCUGACGAGUGGCGAACGGGUGAGUAAUGCAUCGGAACGUGCCCAGAGGUGGGGGAUAACGCAGCGAAAGCUGUGCUAAUACCGCAUGUGAUCUGAGGAUGAAAGCGGGGGACCAGGCAGCAAUGUUUGGCCUCGCGCCUUUGGAGCGGCCGAUGUCAGAUUAGGUAGUUGGUGGGGUAAAGGCCUACCAAGCCGACGAUCUGUAGCUGGUCUGAGAGGACGACCAGCCACACUGGGACUGAGACACGGCCCAGACUCCUACGGGAGGCAGCAGUGGGGAAUUUUGGACAAUGGGCGCAAGCCUGAUCCAGCAAUGCCGCGUGCGGGAAGAAGGCCUUCGGGUUGUAAACCGCUUUUGUACGGAGCGAAAAGGCUCUGGCUAAUACCUGGGGCUGAUGACGGUACCGGAAGAAUAAGCACCGGCUAACUACGUG